rnacentral:lncRNA from 1 species
CAUUGGCUGCGGGGCGCGCGGCGCAGCUGUUCUGAUUAUCAUAUUUCAGCCUCGCCGCCGCCGUGCGCCACUGACCGCUCGGCGAGCCCGCGGGAGAGGAUUAGGGCUCCCGAGGCAACUUGCUCCGGGCUCAGGCCGCUCUCUCCCCCGAAGCUCGGGCUGCCCGGCUGCUCUGGCUUCUGGCCUGCCUCUCCUUCUCCUGCUCCUCCUCCUGUCCCCCUCCCUCGCGCCUUCCCGGCAGUGCCGCCAGCGCCCUCGCCUCCUGUCGCGCUGCUCCUCCGCCCUGCGCUCCUGGGGUCCCCGCAAUCCGGCUGGCCGUGCUGCGCGCGGGGCACUUUUCUGCCGCCGGUGGCGAGUGGCUGGUGGGUAGGUCUUCCUGAUGACGAGGUCCUUCCAGAACUCUAGGAAAAGGGGCGUCUUGGAAUAGGCCGUUUGGCUCGGUUUCGUCUGGCGCUGUGGCGCGCAGCUCCGGGCCCGGCCCGGCUUUGCCGCUGGGGAGGGUGAGUUCCCGGACCCGCUGCGCCUGGCGCGCUGGGAGCUGCCUAGUGGGAGAAGAACCGGGAAUCGGAUGACUAGACACACCGGAAUUGUUUUCUACUGCUACCCCAAACCCCGUUAACCACCGACCUCAGAUCUCCAAAAAGCUGGGGUGGGAGGAAAAGAGCGCUUGUUGCCUUAGCGGAGAAUCAGGUUGGGAGUACGCAGGUAAAACCAAGUUGACUCCGCGGACUCCUCUCUCUUCUUCCGACCCUUGAGGUCUAUCUACUUUUGCAGUUUAACUCUAGCAUUUGGAAGCGCACUAACCCGAAGUCAAAGAGUGAAAUGAUCUUCCAGUAGUUGGAAGUUUGUAAAGCGGUUAUAUAUAUCCUGUCCAGGUCCUCUCCCUGCUGGUCUCCUGCCCUUUGUUUUUAAGCAGACGUGUGCAGUUUUGUUGGUGGUGUUUCGGUAAUUAUAAGGACAGGUCUCCAUGUCUUUAGAGAUUAAAAAAAAUGUGUUAGUUUAAGGGCGUGAAUAGGGAGGGAUCGAAUACUGAAGAGCGGUGAAAUACCUAUUUCACUUCACCGGGUUUGUUUAUCUAAUACUUUUCUCUCGGGGAAACAACCUGGAGAGAGAAGAAUGUUGGCUCGCCGGUAACCUUUUUCAAUAAUUUCUGACAUGUUCUCAUCACCCUUUACAGUCUUCCAAAAGCAAAGUCACAGGAAAGGCCACGAAGAACACCCCCACACCCACAAGUCUCCCAAAGCUUCUAAAUAGCGAUUCCUUAUCUAAUGUGACCGCCAGUUUUCUCUUAAAAGGUCCACAAACCCAAACAGUAAAAGGCUUAAUUUCAGUGUCUUGCUGCUGGGAGAAAACCCAGUUUGUGAGGAAACUCCUUUCUUUGUACUUUUCGCCAGAUUUAACCCUUGAUAAGAGCUGUGAGCUCUCAACUGGCCUCCAUGGCUUGGUUUGCACGGUUAUGCGUUUCCAGAGCACAGAUGGAAGCUAAGAUGUUUGAGUUUUCUCCUGACCUAGCUGGAUUUUACCAAGAACACAUAAUCUGUUUCGUUUUGUUUUCUCUCAAGGAAGAGUUUUAACUGCAUCUCAUGCCUUCUAUUUUUAUUGUAAGUUUUAAAGUUAUAUCAGAGUAUGUGUGUGAAAUUGAAAGUUGGAAUAGACAUAGGUUGAUAAAUUUAUCAGGUUUUUGUUUAAAAAUCUGUUUUGUUUAAAGUUUCUAAUCUCAGGUAUUAUGUGCAUGGAGCCUUUUGUCAGGCCGCUUUUGCAAAACUGAUGCUGGUAAUCAAAACACCAGCAAGUCUUCCCGAUAUAAGGGCAUGUUUCCCUUAUAGAUAACCAAGUUGACUCUAGUUUAAAAAAAAAGAGAAAAAAAAAGAUACCACUAUAAUGCCAGAAAGUAAAUAGGGGAUUUUAACCAAUCGUAUUCCAUCAUGCUGCCUUUAUAACAUGGAAUUAAACAGCAGAAGCUACCAGAAGCCUGAUGACAUAUUUGAGAUCCACAAAGCGCCUUCACUAUCCAUCCCUCUUCAAACCAGUCACACACACAGUGUGAUAUUUUAGCUCCCUAAACUAAUAACCUAUUCCAAAGAAUUAUUACUGAUGAUGAUAGCAAUUCCAAGGCUUGGAGGAAAGCCUUUACAAACGGGAAAUUUCAUCAUAAUGGUGAAAACACGUUUUCUUUUUUCUUUUUUUUCAGCCCACGCUGUUAUUAUAAACAAGUAUUUUCUUAAUAAGUUCCUAAGCUGAUAGAGGUAAAAACCUUGCAGAAGAUACUCCUUGUUAAAGGGAGAAAUUUGAAGAAACCCACUAAUAGGUUGUUCCCUGAUGGACGUGCUCUCGAGUUCUAUGUUUAUUGCUAAUGUAUUUUCGUUAAAACCGAAGUUAGGGGAGCAGCCAUUAUUUUUUUCACUUCACUUUAAAGUUCAUACGUGUGACCAGUGAUCAUUCUCCUGUUUCCUUAGCUGAUUGCUAACUGUGCAUUUAAUAUAUCAAAUAUAUCUGUAAAAAAAUAUUUGUGAUGUUUUUACAGAAUAUAACAAACUAUGAUUAGCAAUAUUUUCCCCCCAGUACUUGAUCACAGGAGCGACCUCUUGUGUUCAAAGGGGAGAUUAGACCCUCUCCUGACAAAAACGGACUUAUUUUGACCUUUGCAUAUUCUGUUAGGUCAAAAAUGUAUCUUUCAGAACAGCAGUUGUGUGAAUCCCCUGCUGUGAGCUCCUCUACUGAUGAGAGAAGCAGCAGCAUAUUGGUAGUGACAAAGUAUAGUCCCAAUUACUUCCCCAUCACCCCAAUAUACUUCACAGUGUCUUUGAAUAUAAAAAAUAUCCUGAGAUUUAGUAAGUUUCUCUGGAGUCUGUGACAUCGGCCCGUGUGCACUUGUAUGCAUUUUCCAUAAUACAGCUAUUACACGUGGGAUCUUAAGCCCAUGUGUCUGUGUGCUGUUGCUUUCUUUCUGUGGUUUAAAAUUUAAGCAUUCCACAUCAAAUUUAGUGCCAGAUACAGAGUCCUGAACAAAUAUGUCCUCAGGCUACUUUUCAAAAAUCUAAAUAGGUUUUAAUUGCAAUUGAAAAGUGGCAUUACACAUUUAGAAUGUAUUUAUUUCCCAAGAAGCUAUGACAGAUAUAAGUGAAUUUUAAGUCAGUUCUUUGGGAAAUUAUGUACAGAAAGGGGAAAAAAGCUUUUUCCUUUUCCACUAACUAAGAUUGGGAAGGAAAGGGAUUGUUGAUCAGCUUUCUCUGAACUAUGGGUUUGUUUAGAAACUUAUUCCCAGGAAGGUGAAGCUCUCUUUAGCCCACAUCAGAAUCAGGUUUGAAAGAGUAAAAUAACAAUUGGACUGCCAGUUUUUAUGAGUAAGGUAUUCAGAUAGAAAAAAAUAAAUAUAUAUAUAAAUGACAGAAGGAUUUAUCUUUUGUGAUAUCCAAAAAACCUGCAAUUUGAGCGUCAAGAUGAAACAUGAACACAUUUUAUUCACCUCAGAAAAUAGGUAUGGAAUGUAUGUAUACACUCCAUUCCCCUUCUCAUUUUUACUUUUUCUGUGUAGUCUUAAUCAUGUAGAAUAAGGGUAUAUAAACCAUCAGUAUCUUAAAUUAUAUCCAAGGGUCAGAUAGAAAAAUGUGCAUUUAAAGGGAAUAAUGGUUAACCAUUUAUAUUCCAUGCUGGAAUUAGGGUGUGGGUGCUUAGAGCCAAUUUGACCCUCUUCCAGUUGUUUUAGGUGGUGGUUUACCAAGGAUGAAAUCAAAAGAAUCUGCACUCUAAUUUCAGAGGAAAAGGGAAGAGAUCUUCUUUCUCUAACAUGAGUUUGAAAUGAUUGUCUCUCUUUCCUUUAAUUGUUCCUUAAAAAAAAAAAAAAAAACAAGCAAUGAUAAUAAUAAAGGCAGUUGUUAACAACAACAAACCUUCAGUUGUGAUUCUCAUUUUAUUGAGGAGGACUCCUGCUGCGAAUGUGGUUUUGUUGGUGUCAAUUGCUUUAUUAACCAGUUGAAACAAUCUGGGUGAAUGAGCAAGAAUCUUCUGCAGGCUGAACUUCCUAGCCUGCGCUUCUGGCUGGGUUCAGGUAGCUGUUUAUGUCACCAGUGUUCCCGAUGUUCGUAGGCGGCAGCGCAGGAGGCAGCGUUCUUGUGCGGUCUGCUGCUCGAUUCCCAGCCUGGAUAGAAUUCCACGCUCCGGGCAGCGGGGAAGCCACAAACCUCAGAUCAGUCUUGAGAAUGCCAGGUUCCGCUGUUCAUUGCAAGGAGGAGUUCGACCAAUCGAGGACAGAAAUUUACACCAUUUAAAAUUGUGCCUCUGGAAAUACUAUGAUCGCACAAAAGUGGCUGGCAGUGUGAGGUGAAAUCUUUUUCUUCCCUUUCCUGGGGAGAGGGUGUUUUUGUUUUUGGAACUGUUCAGUGGCUAGGAACAGGUAAUUUUUAACUGGACCAGAGUUCGGCUCAGAGCCCAGGUUGGAGCCAGUGAGUGCAAUGUGCUGAGAGGUUCUGGCCCAAGGACUCACUGAAACCUACAUCUUGCAAAGCUUUCAUUAAAUGUAUCGGAUUCUCGCGGGGGUAGUUGGGAGUCUGGAGAGGAGAACAAGCUUUAUCUCCCAAGUCCUGGACGAUUCUCUCAAAGCUGCCAUAUCUGCACUAGAUCUAGCAAAACACCCACGGGCCCACCCGAGCUUUCAGGAAACCGGGAGCAAGUUAACUCAGUCUAGUUGAUCAAAUGACAUUCUUUCUGAAAGAAAUAACACCCUUUCCCCCACUGCAAUUUUGUCCAACGGGCAGCUCUGAAUUUAGCGCCAACGGAUUGAUUUCCACCGCCCGCUGGAGGUUUACUGGGAACGAGUGGAGGAGGGGAGGCCAAGGUACCUUGGAGGAGGUCAAGAGGAGGAGGAGGAGGAGAAGGAGGAGCAGCAGAAAAUUACCAGCCAAGCGGGGGAGGGAAUUGGAAGCCCGGAAAUCUAUCAGGAUGCCUCAAAUAACCUUCCCUUACUCUCAGAAUUCAGCGCUCAAAAAUCAGCCUCAUUGCAAGGUGUCCUGGGCCGGAGUCCUCGGGUGGGUUGCGGAGGUGAUGUCAGUUAUAGCUACUUCCGAUGAAUUUAACUGGUGGCUAAAGUGUGUCGGGGCUGUUUAGUGUAGCUGAGAGUUGCGUGGGUCGGGGCUGUUUUUAAGGGGAGAGGCAAUCAUCGGUGGCACCCACAAGUAGAUUCUGUGAGUGGAAGAGAAGGUGGGUUCGGGGCUGGAGAAAAAAAAUCUUCAAAUCUUCGAAAAAGAUCAGUUCGAGAGAGAUUUUAGGGACAGUUUUCAAGGUUGCUGUCUGCUUCAACUCCGCGGAGGUGAAUGAGAGGAUAGAGCUCGGGUCUUGUGUGCGUUUAGAAUUAUCUGCGCCUCCGGAUCCACAUUGUUAAGAAAACUCAUCAAUUCUUUGAGACUUCACGUUGAGAGGCGGAUUUAUCCUGCUCCUCUACCUGCUAAAUAUCGAGAAAAGGGGCUCUGGAGACGACCUCUUACAGAAAGAAUGUCAUUUGAUCAACUCAACUGAGUUAAUGACUUGCUCCGGAAAGGGUCAAGAACGCCUUUCCUUCCCACCCGCGCAGCGGCGGGGACGCCCUGGGCAACCUCUCUACCCCAGGUGGCCUCUCAACAAGGGCCCAGGAGCUCCUGUCCUAGGGUUCUUUUCGCGCUCAGAGUCCUGCGAUCAAGUUUCUUAUAUUUCCAAAAACCUCCAUGCUUCCAUGUUCCAGCACAUUGUCUCCAGAAAUUUAGCCUAGCCCAGGCCCGGGAUCAAAGGGCGUGAAACAAAGAGACACCCCCCCACCCUCACCCCCACCACCCACCACCACACCUCCGGAUCCCCUGGACCUUAUGCCUCCAGGAUUUCCAAUUUACCAACCUUCUAGCUGGGCCCCCACCCCCACAGGGUUCUGCACUCAAGGGCAUUUUCCGAUUCCAUCUUCCCAUUGACAAAAGAGGAAAAAUCGAACUGAAUCUACAUCCCCUGCCCUCACUCAUGCUAGACUUGAGAAAAUCAAAGUCACGAAGACCUCUCUCCUUGCUAGGUUGGCAAGAGCAGCUCCUGGAGAGGCCACUCGGUUCCUUAGUGUGAAUCUCCUUGCCAACCACGUUUGGGACCAGAGCCCGGGGUUGUCCUGGGUCGCGCUUUGGUGGGCCCAGCUGGGGACGAGAAAGCAAAGGUGAAUCCGGUCACCGGUAGCUCUGAUCACUAAAAAAGAGGGGUCCCUGCCUGCCUACCACCUGGGGCUGUCUGCUGGGGGGACCUUCCAACCUCCUAAAUACGAGGUGGAGGAAAAAAGUUCAACCUCGGGCUGUGGCCUCAGAGAUGCAACCCUCUGAAGGUUAAACUUUCCGUUUUAGGUUGUUUCCUCUUCCGCUGGUGCAACACCCCGGGUUUCCCCAAAAUGAAUACACUCGCGGAAAUCAA